CUUGGUGUUUGACUUUGAUAUUUAUUAAGUGGCAAUUUGCAUAGUAAUGAUGAUGACAUGGCCACCAUUAGGGGGUGAUUACUAUAGCAUGACACUGGGGUGUUAUAGAACUGAGCGGGAGGGGGAGAACAAUCGCCGCCUUCUCAUGCUGCUCGUCUCCACCGUACCUUGUCUGCCUCGCGUGGUGAUGACCGGCGGCACAACAGGCGUUGGCGGCGUGGUCGAUCCCCUGGUUGUCGUACCUGGAAGGCCGGCACUAACGAGGCCCCCUCCGUCCCCAUCCGUGAGUUCCACGACAGGGGACUUCGACCAUGCCUGCGUGCAUCCUAGGUUCCUCCACAUCAGCCCGACCUCCCACAAGUGGGCGUUCGUAGGUUUCACGCCCUUGCCAAUCCAUUCUCUGAUUUGGUUUGGUUUGGUGGAGAUGUAAUAGUUUGAUAGUUCUCAGUUUGUAGAACAAAGGGUACCAGGUAACUACAAGAUACAUUGCUUGUUGGUUUGUUACAAUAUUUGACCUGAUGGGAGAUAAGAUGCAUACCUUGCUGGUUUGUUACGAUAUUUGGCCUGAGUGUGAGGAGCAGGUAGCGCUCAAUCUUACUAUUUUUAAAUUUUCGGUUCACAUGUGAAGGUCUAGAAUUUCUAUUCAAUUGGUUGAAAUAAACUGGGCGGCAUCGAGGUAAUGUUAUUCGGAUGUGCUUUCAAGAAAUAAGUUUGUGCCGUUUAAAAUUUAGUUAUGUGCAAAGAAACAGCAAAUACAGGUUUACUGUAACUUUUCUUGUAUGAGAUUUCAAGUGAGAUUGUUCAGUUCGUUCUUCUGUUUGUUACUAGAGAUUCUGAGAAAGAUUGUUAUGUGCCGCUGUAUAAAGAUGGAUUUGAAAUCAAUUGAGCUGUGUUGUAUGCUUUAAUAGGAAAAACUUAACUGAACUUGUUGCUGGCGUUUAAAAUUCAGUUAUCUACACAGAAACAACAAAUACCAGUGUACUGUAGCUUUUCUUGUAUAAGGUUCCAAGCAAGAUAGUUCGGUUGGUUCUUAUUUUUCUUCUUAGAGAUUUUGAGCAAGAUUGUUAUUUGUGACUGUAUGAAGAUGGAUUUCAAAUCAAUUCUGCCAUGGUGUGCACUUUAAAACAAGAACUGAACUUGUUUGUGCCAUUUAAAAUACAAUGAUCUACAAAGAAACAACAAAUAAGUUGCCAAUUUUAGAAGUGGUGCAGCAGAUAGUUUUUUAGAUGAUUGAGACAGCUACAACUUCAUUUGACUCUCUAAUCGUUCAAGUUUUCAUCCAAAAGUACAGAUUCGCUGCUCAUACACCACAUGAAUCAAUUGGCGUUUCGAAUGUGCUAAAUGCACAUUAAGAUUCAGUUUUGCCUACUGUUUCAGUUACAUGAAUAUCUUUGUCAUCAGUACAUCCAUUAUAUGUUAAUCUAUUUUACUAUCUCUUUUCCAUUUUGCCUUCCUGACUGUACUCUGCUCUAUCCAUUUUUCCUUACAUAAAGAAGAUGAAUUCCUUGUUGGUUUAUUUGAGUAUCUUUGUUGCAUUAAUACUAAAAACACAUGUUAUCCAUUUCUCCCUUGCUAUUUCUGUUUGGGGAAUAUUAUAGUUUGACCACUGACUAGAAAUCAAAUGCUUAAUAUUGGAAUGUCUGCUGGAUAAGAAGGUAGAAAAACUAGACGGUGUGGUACUCUCAUGACUUCUCUUCUUUAUGUUUGGUGUUCAAGAUACUUACGCCACCAUGUAAAAUAUUUAUCUAAUAACUUUUCUCUUGAUGUGCAGCUAUAUCUGAACUUCUUGAUAAUGCAGUAGAUGAGGCAUGAGUGAAAAGGUGAUUAAGAAUUCUGAUCGAUAGUGAUGGGGAGGUAUUUGUCGAGGUUGCUAGGUGUGUGGACUUUCCUUUUCUGCAAGGACUUCUUUAGUUCUUCGCUUGCAAUUUGGAUGACCGUGUGAAGCACUGAAUUCCGCCCUUGAUGAGAUGCCUGGCAAUCAUUCUGUUUUCUUAAUGGGAGAAGAGGUACCAGGAUACCACCUGGAAGACAAGAUAAUAACAUUGCAGAUAGACAGAAACAGAAUUACUUUACACUAAUUCGACGUCUAUCGAGCAAUGGAACAACAAAGACGGAUCAAAUAACUACUCCGAGAGGGGACGUUGAGGAUGACGACAGCGACGAGCAAGUCGGCGUCUGUGAAGCUUCACCGGAGCCAUUCCAGCUCUUCCAAAGGCACAACGAGAGCCUAAAGGAAGCUGAGGAGCCAGGACGCCGAUGGUGCGGAGCCGUUUGCCAUCGAGAGGACCAGGGCAAGCCAUCAUGGACCUCCGGACCAAGCUCAACAUCUCCCUCGCCUCAGUCGAUGCCAUGUCCUGGAGGGUCGUUGCUGGGUCGCCAUCCAUGACAAUGAGCUCCUACCGCAGCUCGUGGAGCUAAUCUGAAUGCUGGCAAGGAUGUGGCGAGUCAUCGGCAACGCGCACCGGGUGAUGAAGCGCAUGGCGGACAAGCCGAGCAUGCUCCUCUUGUUGUCGGCCGCACGGUUUGAGGGAGGCAUCAAGAGACUGCCGCCGCCGUGGCCGACGCGCGCGUAAUUUCUUUAACGUAUCUUACGUUGUCAAACAGCAAGAUGCUCCUGUCGAUGCUAUUAUAUCGCUACGGGUUUGCCUGUGAUAGCAUGACAUUUCAGUUUCUUCCUUACAUGAUGCGCCAAUAUAAUAAUUUCAUCAAGAAUUGCAUGUACAUGGUGCUGCUAUCCAGAUCAAAAAAGGAAAGUGAAAGGAGCGUGCAUCUACCUGGCACCGCCCAGAUGCCCCUCAAGUGGCGCGCCAAUGGGGUGCCCCAUGAAGCAAUUGUGUACUUUUUAUGUUCCAUGGAAGGCUCUAUGGUUCUUCAGUCUUCAGUUGGCAUCAUCUUUGAUGUGAGGUCUUUCACAUGGCAGAGAUGCUUCUCCUGCUUCUUUCAGGUUAAGAGUCGAGAGGAGAAUGAAGAUUAUCUUGCAUGACUUUAAUGAUUCUAAGAGAGGGGGUGGUACAUUUUGGAACAUAGAGGGUUGACAUGCCGAAAGAAGCGGAGGGGCGAUCACAGGGGCGACCUCCGCAUUGAGGAAGGAAUUGGUGCUGAAUCGAGGAAUGGACAGUCCUUGUGAGACCACAACCAACUGCCACUGAAUCGAGAAUUGGAUUGUCCAACCUUGGCCCUAUUCCAUCUCGUGGUGUUGCCUUAGUAAUUGAUUGUUUUUUCAUGGGCAAAUAGUAUAAUUAUUUGAAGUAUUUUUUUUUCAAGUGCAUGGCUGGCAAUUUCAAAGAGGAAAUGGCAAGCCGUCGCGCAUCGAUACCCUAUCUCUCCUUUGGAUUGAAUGCUAUCCUGGUCAGAACGAUAAUUUUGUUGUUUGCUUGUUCCUGUAGGCCGUACCACGGAGGUUUGUGGGAAAUUUCAAAGGUCGGAUCUAUGAAGCUAUCAAGCUAGAAGCUCCUCGGUUGUAGUUCAGAUCAUAGGCUUGUUGUAAUUUUCUUUUACGAUUCAGAAUUUUAGUCCAGAUCAUAGGUUUUCUAUCAUUCUCUUUUACU